AAUGGGUGUUUGUUACCCCAUUUGCGACCCUUUUUCCGCGUAUAAACCAGAAACCUCCCAGGUUUCUAUAGCAGGAGAUAUGAUUUGAUUAGAAAUCUGAUAUAAUUAUUCUCAUUAUAUUUUAAUUAUUUUCUUUUAUGAUCAAAUCAUAUCUCCUAGAGGAGGUAAUUAUAAUCAAUCAUAUAGUAAACUAUAAAAAUCAUCCUUUAUAUAUGUAUUUUAUUAUAAAGUGUGUCAUUUGUCUUUAAUAAUGCAGAAAACAAACAUAAAGUAUGUUUUCUGUACUUAUUAAAGACAAAGGACACACUUUGCAAUAAGAUACAUAUAUAAAAGACGAUUUUUGAAAUUUACUCUAAAUCAUAACUAAUAUAUUCUAUCCAUACCCUCCGGCCAUUUGCACCGCGUUCUCAACGUCUUCAAGAUGCACAUCGAACAAUAAACCCAUUCGAAGAAAAGGGUUUUUCGGCGGUAACUUAUCAUUUACGAUCAAGCGAUACAAGCAGUCAAGCAAGUGAAACGUGUCACACACGUCAAAACCGCCAUCAGAUUCGGGUUCGGAUGCAGUAAAUUUAAUUGGCGAUCGCGUUUCGCAAAAUUUCACCAACAAACUUGCAAGAUCAAAAUCAUCAACUUCCCCAUCUGAGUGUUGGUGAACUGCAUUUAGCAGUUCAACCAACACCACAAGUGGGAUUUGGUUCUCCACCAUCAUCACAUCUUCCAAAGUCCCCGACGGGACAGCAUCAUCUGUCCCGUCGGACACUUUUAACAAAAUAUCCAACAAAAAGAGUGCAUCCAACACAAACACCCAUGCUAAAGUAUCAUCACUAACGUUAAAGUACAAGUCAUAACAGCAUCUAGCUGCUGGGACAAUGUCAGCUUGAUCGUGUGGCCUUGCCCCCGCCACAUCACUUCCAUAACAUGCUAGCUGCGGGGACGUUAUGGAGGGGCGAUAUCGGUGGCUUCGUUAUCAGUAUAAGGAGCAUCAAAGGAUAAGGUAUGGGGGGCCAUUGAUUCUCACAAAUUAGUAAUAGUUUUUUAAUUUCUUUUUUAUAUAGUUUUAAAAGAGAACUUUAUUUCAUACCGUGUAAGUUAACAAUAAAACCUCGCUUACGU
rnacentral:lncRNA from 1 species